rnacentral:misc_RNA from 1 species
GAUGAAGAACGUAGCGAAAUGCGAUAAGUAGUGUGAAUUGCAGAAUUCAGUGAAUCAUCGAAUCUUUGAACGCACAUUGCGCCCCUUGGUAUUCCAUGGGGCAUGCCUGUUCGAGCGUCAUUUGUACCUUCAAGCUCUGCUUGGUGUUGGGUGUUUGUCUCGCCUCUGCGUGUAGACUCGCCUCAAAACAAUUGGCAGCCGGCGUAUUGAUUUCGGAGCGCAGUACAUCUCGCGCUUUGCACUCAUAACGACGACGUCCAAAAGUACAUUUUUACACUCUUGACCUCGGAUCAGGUAGGGAUACCCGCUGAACUUAAUCAUAUCAAUAAGCGGAGGA